CUUCAGGGGCUUGGGCUGAGAAGCUCAGAGCCUGGAGCCGCCUGGCCCUUGACCACACAGGGAGGCCAGCAGUGCUCUGCCUGGGACUCGGGCCUGUGUACUCCCCUCAGCACCUCACCGUGGGCUGUGUCCUGGAGCCUGCUGUAGCUCCCCACGCCGGUCCCACCCGGGGCAGGCGGGUAAUACCCACACCUCUUCCAGGCUGUUCUCUGCACCGGGUCCUCACACUGCAGAUCACCAUUUCCACAGAAAACAGGAACGAGCCUGGAAAACCCCAAACCUGGUUACCCAUUAACCCAGCCCUGAGCGAGGGCCAAGGGGACGGGCCUCGUUUUCUCACCAGAGCUGGUUACAGUUAGUCCAGGGGAGGCACACGGGUUUCAUCUUGUGGGCCAGUCUUGAUUAGUUAAGUUCUGGGUAGAGUGUCUUAACGAGGGGGAAGUGGGCGGUAAGCUAUCAGUGAUGUUUCCAGUAAUCAGUAAAGGGGCAGGGGAAAGGAAAAGCUGUUCUUUAAAUUCCUGUAACAUGGGCCUAAUAUUUAGGGAGUUUGAGGAUCGGCACAAGCGUGGUAUAUACAGCUGAAGCAGUCGUACAAGUAGCUUGUGUGGAGUCUAUUCAUUUAUUCAGGAAAUAAUUUUCCCGUGCCUACCAUGUACCAGUCACUAAGCUCAGUGUGAGCGAUAAAAAAAUGGAAACAAACAGGUUCUUUAACCCUCCUGUCCUAUUCAGCUGGGGCCGCCAUAACAGAACACCACAGACUGGGUGGCUUCAACAGAAAUGUAUUUUCUCACAGUUCUGGAGCCUGGAAAUCUAAGAUUAAAGGUCCAGCCGAUUCAGUUCCCAGCGAUGGCCCUCUUCCUGGCUUGUAGACAGUCACCUUCUCACUAUGUCCUUCCAUGGCCUUUUCUCUGUAGGUAUGCUUGGUGUGGAGGAAGCGGGGAGAAAGCUGUCAGCGCAGACCCCAAUGCAGAGCUUGAACUUACAAGGCAUGAGAUCAUGACCUGAGCCGAAGUCAGACGUUUAGCCGACUGAGCCAUCCAGAUGUCCUGAGAGAGACAGAGAUUGACAGAGAGAGAUCUUUCCCUUCUAACGCCAUCAAUCCUAUUAGAUUUGCACCCCAUCCUUCAUUUAAUCUUAAUUACCUCCUAAAGACUAUAUAUCUCCAAAUACAUUGGGGGUUAGAGCAACUUAUGAAUUUUGGUGGGAGGGGACACAAUUCAGUCCAUAGCACAUGCCCUUAUGGAGAUUAUCACCUCAUGAAGGUUGACGAUUCAACAGUAUAAACAUGUAAACAGAAAUAUGGUUACGAGUCCUACUGAAAAAUAAACAGGGUGCUGUGACAGAGCACAGCAAGAGAACUUAAUUCAUACAGGGUGAUAAGUGCUCUCUGGGGAUAUGACAUGCAGUUUUGGACCUGAAGCAUAAGAAAUAGCCAUUCAAUGAGAAGGAUGUUCCUGGAAAAGAGACCCACAAGUGCAAAGGCCCUGAGGUAGGAAAGAAUUUAGUAUGUUUAAGGAAUUGAAAGGAUGGCUUUUGCUUCUAAAGAUCUUUCUGGUUUCUUUGUGGAGAAUAAACAAUAUGGAAAGAAGGGCGGAGGAGGUAAACCAAUUCCAAGGCUUUUCUGUCUUCCAGGCAAACGAUGACGGUGGUUGGAAGUAGAAUAGUAAAAGCAGAAACGGUGAGAAGUCGAUUGAUCCUGGUGUAUAUCUCUUGAAGCUGGAGUCGAUGCCUAUUAGUAUGCCACUGAAGAGCCUGCAGAAGGAGCCGUGGCGAAGCCAGCAAGUUAUAGGAAAGGUCUUUGAAGUCCUGCGCGUUCAGCUGACAGAUGGAAAAGAGAAAGGAUCAUACGAGAAGUUUGUAUGGGCCAGGCCUAGAAGAGAUAGUAUCACUUCCACUCAUAUUUCAUUGGCCAGAUCUCAGUCUCAUGUCUACACAACAACAGCCCCAGCUGAGGUCCCCACUGACACCAGGAUCAAGCACCUGAUGUAUGUGUGAAGAUGGUUCCAGAUGAUGUUAGCUCUCAGUGUCAGAUUUUCCCAGACAUUGAGGAACUGAGAGAAGCCACCCCCCUCAACCUUAAGGAAACCCUACAGUUGCAUAAACUCUAAUCCCUUGAUGAAUUCCUUUUUCUAUAUUAUUCAUACUGUUUCCGCUUAUUUGUUCCAACCCUGACUGAUACAAACCAUGAACUCUGGCCGAACAUGCUUGCCAUUCUGAAUGGUACAAGGGCCACAGAAGGUGGGCACCUUUAACUUCUAAUAAAAUUGGGGUACUUUUUAAUUCAACAUUUAUAUUACUAGUAAUUAUUAAUAUCUUUAA